UACGUAGGGGGCUAGCGUUGUCCGGAAUCAUUGGGCGUAAAGAGCGUGUAGGCGGCCCGGUAAGUCCGCUGUGAAAGUCCAGGGCUCAACCCUGGGAUGCCGGUGGAUACUGUCGGGCUCGAGUCCGGAAGAGGAGUGUGGAAUUCCUGGUGUAGCGGUGAAAUGCGCAGAUAUCAGGAGGAACACCAAUGGCGAAGGCAGCACUCUGGGACGUGACUGACGCUGAGACGCAAAAGCGUGGGGAGCAAACAGG
rnacentral:rRNA from 1 species